rnacentral:rRNA from 1 species
AUUGAACGCUGGCGGCAGGCCUAACACAUGCAAGUCGAGCGAGCGGCGGACGGGGGUGUAAUGUCUGGGAAAAUGCCUGAUGGAGGGGGAUAACUACUGGAAACGGUAGCUAAUAACGCAUACCCUAAGAUGUGCCCAGAUGGGUUUAGCUAGUAGGUGGGGUAACGGCUCACCUAGGCGACGAACCCUAGCUGGUCUGAGAGGAUGACCAGCCACACUGGAACUGAGACACGGCCCAGACUCCUACGGGAGGCAGCAGUGGGGAAUAUUGCACAAUGGGCGCAAGCCUGACGCAGCCAUGCCGCGUGAGUGAAGAAGGCCUUCGGGUUGUAAAGCACUUUCAGCGGGGAGGCGUUACCCGCAGAAGAAGCACCGGCUAACUCCGUGCCAGCCGCCGCGGUAAUAC